rnacentral:rRNA from 1 species
AUUUUGGACAAUGGGGGAAACCCUGAUCCAGCCAUCCCGCGUGUAUGAUGAAGGCCUNNNGGUUGNACAGUACUUUUGGCAGANAAGNAAAGGUAUCCCCUAAUACGGGAUACUGCUGACGGUAGCUGCAGAAUAAGCACUGGCUAACUACGUGCCAGUAGCCGCGGUAAUACGUAGGGAGCAAGCGUUAAUCGGAAUUACUGGGGGUAAAGCGUGUGUAGGCGGUUCGGAAAGAAAGAUGUGCAAUCCCAGGGCUCAACCUUGGAACUGCAUUUUUAACUGCCGAGCUGGAGUAUGUCAGAGGGGGGUAGAAUUCCACGUGUAGCAGUGAAAUGCGUAGAUAUGUGGAGGAAUACCGAUGGCGAAGGCAGCCCCCUGGGAUAAUACUGACGCUCAGACACGAAAGCGUGGGGAGCAAACAGG